rnacentral:rRNA from 1 species
AGAAUCAACGCUGGCGGCGUGCCUCAGACAUGCAGGUCGAACGCGAAAGUUCCCUUCGGGGGGCAAGUAGAGUGGCGCACGGGUGAGUAACACGUAGGUAAUCUACCUUUGGAUGGGGGAUAACAACCGGAAACGGUUGCUAAUACCGCAUAAUGCAGCGGCACCUAAUGGUGACAGUUGUUAAAGCGGGGGAUCGAAAGACCUCGCGUCUGAAGAGGAGCCUGCGGCGGAUUAGCUAGUUGGUAGGUAACGGCCUACCAAGGCUACGAUCC